rnacentral:rRNA from 1 species
AUACGUAGGGUGCGAGCGUUGUCCGGAAUUACUGGGCGUAAAGAGCUCGUAGGUGGUUUGUCGCGUCGUCUGUGAAAUUCCGGGGCUUAACUCCGGGCGUGCAGGCGAUACGGGCAUAACUUGAGUACUGUAGGGGAGACUGGAAUUCCUGGUGUAGCGGUGAAAUGCGCAGAUAUCAGGAGGAACACCGGUGGCGAAGGCGGGUCUCUGGUCAAUAACGGAAGCUGAGGAGCGAAAGCAUGGGUAGCGAACAGGAUUAGAUACCCUGGUAGUCCAUGCCGUAACCGGUGGGCGCUAGGUGUAGGGGUCUUCCACGACUUCUGUGCCGUAGCUAACGCAUUAAGCGACCCGCCUGGGGAGUACGGCCGCAAGGCUAAAACUCAAAUGAAUUUACGGGG